AAAAAAGAAGUACCAUCCACUAUGUUCCUGGCAUGAAAAUCUCUAUCUGACUUUCAAAACAUGACCUUCUGCAGCUCCUGAAACUCAAGGGUCAGUCACCUGCUUACCCCACCUCAACACCAGGCAUGUUGACCCCUCCAGGAAUGUCACUCUCCAAACCAGCAUGCCUAACCUGGCUCACCCCCCUUCAAGGCUGAAAGUGGACUUCACCCAGCAUCGAGGCCCCAUCACUUCCAGCCGGCUGCCACCCAGCCCCCACAGUUCAUGCCUGUGCCUCAUUGGAGCCGAAAUCGUUUGUCACUCAGUUCCUUCAGCCAAACUAUGAACAGGGCCCUAUGCACCACCCUGGGCUGCUGCCAGCCUAGCAGGCAAUUAAAACCUAAACCUCUUCCCCUAGAAAUUGGCGUUGGCCAUGUCUUUCCAUACUGAGAUGGUGUUGCAUGAUUUUUUGAAAAUCUAAUUUUGUCAUUAUCCCUGUUUAAUGUCAUCUGCCUCAUUCC